rnacentral:tRNA from 1 species
AGAGGGUUGGCCGAGUGGACGAAGGCACUUGUUUUGAAAACAAGCGAGCCGAGAGGUUCCGAGGGUUCGAAUCCCUCACCCUCUG